AUACUCAUUUCCAUUCGGAACUUACCACGAUGUUGAUGAAGAGGCGCCGCCAUUAUCAUUGGAACGCAUUGUCAACCUUCUCAUUUAUAUUGACAGAAUAUACAAUUACUACAUGUAUUAAUUGAUGAAAAAUUAAGGAACUGUUGAACAUGUUGAAAAUGCAUGGAGAAAUUUGUUGGGCAAGGCACAGACAUUAAGCUUAAGGCUAACAUCAGAAAACCUCUGGAUUCUUGGAACUGUUUAUCACAUGCAAAUUAUGAACACGGCAUGAUCAAAUCAGAAAGGUUUGAAAAAAGCUUAAAGAAUUUUCAGUUUCACUUGACAGCUUAAAGAAUUUUCAGUUUCACUUGACAGCUUAAAGAAUUUUCAGCUUCACAGGAGUGCAGGAUGAUUUCAGCUAUGAUCACCACACAGUACUGGGAAGAAGUUUUAAAAGACACAUCAUGUGUGAGAUAAUUUCUAUGAUGAAAAGUGAGCUAGAAGUAAGGUGCAAACCAUGAAAGUACCUGACAAGUGGACUUGCAAGAUCUGGUGGAAGUGAAAAAUUGUGAAUUGUUGAAGAAGCACAUUAA